ACGGGUGAGUAACGCGUGGGAAUCUACCCAUCUCUACGGAACAACUCCGGGAAACUGGAGCUAAUACCGUAUACGUCCUUUUGGAGAAAGAUUUAUCGGAGAUGGAUGAGCCCGCGUUGGAUUAGCUAGUUGGUGGGGUAAUGGCCUACCAAGGCGACGAUCCAUAGCUGGUCUGAGAGGAUGAUCAGCCACACUGGGACUGAGACACGGCCCAGACUCCUACGGGAGGCAGCAGUGGGGAAUAUUGGACAAUGGGCGCAAGCCUGAUCCAGCCAUGCCGCGUGAGUGAUGAAGGCCCUAGGGUUGUAAAGCUCUUUCAACGGUGAAGAUAAUGACGGUAACCGUAGAAGAAGCCCCGGCUAACUUCGUGCCAGCAGCCGCGGUAAUACGAAGGGGGCUAGCGUUGUUCGGAAUUACUGGGCGUAAAGCGCACGUAGGCGGAUACUUAAGUCAGGGGUGAAAUCCCGGGGCUCAACCCCGGAACUGCCUUUGAUACUGGGUAUCUCGAGUCCGGAAGAGGUGAGUGGAAUUCCGAGUGUAGAGGUGAAAUUCAUAGA
rnacentral:rRNA from 1 species